CCUACGGGGGGCAGCAGUGGGGGAUAUUGGGCAAUGGGCGCAAGCCUGACCCAGCAACGCCGCGUGAAGGAAGAAGGCUUUCGGGUUGUAAACUUCUUUUAAGAGGGAAGAACGGGCACUGUGCUAAUCAGCAGUGAAUUGACGGUACCUGCAAAGGAAGCACCGGCUAACUCCGUGCCAGCAGCCGCGGUAAUACGGAGGGUGCGAGCGUUGAUCGGAAUUACUGGGCGUAAAGCGCUCGUAGGCGGUAUGUCAAGUCAAGGGUGAAAUCCCCGCGCUCAACGUGGGAACUGCCUUUGAAACUGGGAGACUGGAGUGUAUGAGAGGCUAGGGGAAUUCCAGGUGUAGGGGUGAAAUCCGUAGAUAUCUGGAGGAACAUCAGUGGCGAAGGCGACUAUCUGGCACAUAACUGACGCUGAGGAGCGAAAGCGUGGGUAGCAAACAGGAUUAGAUACCCCAGUAGUC
rnacentral:rRNA from 1 species